UACGUAGGGUGCGAGCGUUGUCCGGAAUUAUUGGGCGUAAAGAGCUCGUAGGCGGUGUGUCACGUCGGCCGUGAAAACCUGCAGCUUAACUGUGGGCGUGCGGUCGAUACGGGCAUCACUGGAGUUCGGCAGGGGAGACUGGAAUUCCUGGUGUAGCGGUGAAAUACGCAGAUAUCAGGAGGAACACCGGUGGCGAAGGCGGGACUCUGGGCCGAUACUGACGCUGAGGAGCGAAAGCGUGGGGAGCGAACAGG
rnacentral:rRNA from 1 species